AACGAACGCUGGCGGCAUGCCUAACACAUGCAAGUCGAACGAAGCCUUCGGGCUUAGUGGCGCACGGGUGCGUAACGCGUGGGAAUCUGCCUCUUGCUUCGGAAUAACAGUUAGAAAUGACUGCUAAUACCGGAUGAUGUCUUCGGACCAAAGAUUUAUCGGCAAGAGAUGAGCCCGCGUAGGAUUAGGUAGUUGGUGGGGUAAAGGCCUACCAAGCCGACGAUCCUUAGCUGGUCUGAGAGGAUGAUCAGCCACACUGGGACUGAGACACGGCCCAGACUCCUACGGGAGGCAGCAGUGGGGAAUAUUGGACAAUGGACGCAAGUCUGAUCCAGCAAUGCCGCGUGAGUGAUGAAGGCCUUAGGGUUGUAAAGCCCUUUUACCAGGGAUGAUAAUGACAGUACCUGGAGAAUAAGCUCCGGCUAACUCCGUGCCAGCCGCCGCGGUAACAC
rnacentral:rRNA from 1 species